CUAACCUGAAAUUAGGAGGGAAAAUGGAAAGGCGGUAACACUCUAAGGCGGCAAAACUCAUCGAAAUAACAUAAGACCCCCUUCUCCACUCCUUGCCGUCUCUGGUCUCUUCUCGCAUCCGUCUGCAAGGUACGCAUCUCGAUCUGAAUCACUGCAUCCCGAUCCAUGUUUUAUUCAGUUGAAUCCAAAUCAAAACGGGGGAACUGAUGUUAUACUGGCUUAUUUGUUGAUAUCUGGAGUCAGAAGUGGAUCUAUCAAAUCCGUGAAUCUUUUUCUAUUUGAUGUUCCGUCUUGAAGAAUGGAUCUAUGAAUUUAUUUUCUUCUAUUAUAUGUCUUGAACUCUGAUUUAAUGUUAUAUUAUGAUAUCUGUUGAAUUUGUUGUCCUAGUAUAUUGUCAUAUGGCAUGGAUUGGUUGUAGUCGACUGAGAUUGCUUUUGAGAUGCAAUUCUUUCACAUUAUAGCUAGAUCGUUGUUUUAUGUUGGUUUAAAUACUGGUUUUUCAAUACUUCGGUACAGGGAGUUAAAAGUUGAUGCUUUAGAUUGAUGCUUGUAUUUAGGUUAACUUGUACUUUUCUUGAAUUAGGGAAUGCCUUUAUUUAGUAACUUAAAAUUUUAUUGAAUUUGGAGAGAAUGUGUUAUUAACCUUGCUGCUAAAAGGAUUCUGUCACUGGCAUCAUCUCAGUAACGAAGUAAUGGGGAUUUUGUUGGUGCCUCAACUACUCACGCUCUAUGGGAAUUCUACCAUACCAAUCAGUCAUCUUCUUCUCCAUUGUUAGUGGAGCUCAUCCAUGGAAGGAAGAAGGAUGAAUGUUCUAACACUAAACAAUAUAUAUAGUCAUUGUUGAAUAAUUUCAGGUGUUGGUUUUACCAUCAUCACUAUACAAUUCCUUGUAUUUGGUUCAAACUUCUUUCUCCAUUUUAGCAUUUCCCUCCCUCCCUCCCUCCCAAGUGCAUGUGAAAAGAUGGGUUGUGUUGGAAAGAAGUCGUGAACAGGUCAGUGGAAUGCCGGGAAUGGAUACGUUUCAGUAAUUGUCAGUGUCAAGGAGAGUAGACCACUUGGGGAACAUAAUACUUUCAAUCUUAAAACAUCAUAAUUUAUAUGAGGGAACCAUUGGAUUGUGUAAUAAGCAUUUGGGUCAUUUAUAGAAGUCAUGUGUAUUAUGAUUCCUUAAUAAUAUGGAAGUCGUGUGUAUUAUGUGAUUCCUUAACAAUAUGCUGUUUUCUCAAGCCAUAGGCACGGGAGUUUUCAUAUCCGUUUUGAUGGUAUGAGUUGCAUUUGAAACUCAUUUAUGUUGUUGCAACUUGCAACCUGCACCCAGAGUACAAAGUUGGCAGAUUGAAAGAUUUCUGUGCUGUUUGGGAUCACAGUGCAAUCUUGCAUUGAGAUUAGUUGGUUUAUAUAUUUCAACUAGCAAUGAUAAUUUAUUUGUUUCAAUAAAAUGAGUUCAUUAGAUAGAUUAAAUAGAAGGACGCUCAGGAACAAAUCCUUUACUCUUUGACCGUGGUGGACACAAAAAAGGUGGCAUAAAAUUAUUCUAACUUUCUGGCUUCCAUAUCCCUUACUCAGCAUUUCUUGUCUUCAUUGCACUGGAUCAUUGGAUUCAUGUUGCUCAGUUCGCAGAUUGGAAUGCCUCCUCUGCUUGGGAUAUACAGUCGAUUUCUCUAGUCCUUGUUUCUAGUGAUCCAUUUCCAUCAAGUCUAAUAUUUGAUUCUAUUCACCCAUCUCGUUUUAGUUGUGCUCAAAUGCAUGUGAGAAUUACCCAAAAGCCUUAAGGAUGGCCUAUUCCUUAAACAUGCUGUGGGACUUAUUCCUAAAGACAUUCUAGCAGGUGAUCCUGGCUUAGAGGAAGAAGGGAUUUAAAGAACUAGGGAUUCACCAACGCUUUUUCUCAGUUGCAACAUAAAGAACAUGACUUAGCUCAAAUGCUCUAAGUAGUAUUCCUUUUUGUUUGACAGGAGCUCCACUUCACCCUCCAUUGUAGCUCAGAUAAAUCCCUCUACCGAAUAUUUACUUUUUUGGAUUGAGAAGAAAAAAAAAAAAAACAAUUCUAAGCUUGCACCAGACGACAAAUUUUAGUCAGUGAUAUUUACUGGUUCUGGAAGAAUGGCUCCAACCUUGAGCAUUACAUUGAUUAUCUUGUUAACCAUGUACAAAAAUACCUUCCCACUUGUCACGGGAACUUACAACCUAAAACUGGUAAACAGCCUUUUUCCACUAACAAGUUACAAGCUCUCAAAUUUUGAGCCACUGAAUGUUGGUCAAAAUACCUACUCACUUGUCAUGGAAUCUUAGAAAGUAACCGGGUAACAACCUUCCCAUUAGACAAGUUACGACCUCACCCAUUCUGUGCAACUGAAUGUUCUCCUUUUGUUGAAUUGACAUUGUUCUCUGGAUUGUACGAUUAUCUAGAUUUGGCGUCAACCAAUGUGAUAUUUCAUCAAGCACAAUACCUAGUUCUCAUUUAUUUUACCUUUUGUCCUUGUCAACCUGCUUGCUGGAAAGUGCAGUCUGGCCAUCAGGGGCCGAGGUGCUCGUGUUUUCUGGUCAAACCCUCUUACACAAACAAAUCCUGCAAAAUUACACCAAAAAUGGAAUGUUUUAAACCAUUCUUCUAAGACAGGAUAAGGGAUUUAGGGUUUCAGUGUGUUUUUUGGUUAAUUUGUCCUGAUAACUUGAAUUGAUCUAGAACAAUAGGCUUGCAUACCUGAUCAUAACCAUUUUCUUUUAAAUAUUUUGGAUGUAGAAGUAGUAGCAGGUUAGUAGGGAGUGACUGCUCGAAAAUUCUUGAGAGAAGAAAAAUACAAUGAGCUUCUUAUAUAACAAUUUUAAAAUUUUAAUUAUCAUUUAUUUGUUGGUCAUUGUCUGGUUUUGGUAGAAAUAGGUUUGUUACCAUACUGAGUUCCAUUGGUAUCUGUACCUGGAUAGCGUCCAAAAAGACAUCAAUUUAAGAACUACUGCUCUAUCAUGUGAAUAUUAUGAUUGGCAGGGUAUCAAAAAGCAAGUGUGUGAAGCAAGAAAUGCUAAGGGUUUGAUAUUUGCAUGUACCUCUCCAGAAACAGUAUUGUAUAUCUUCUGUUGAUAAACCUGACAGAGAAAUGACUAUUGUGAAUUACAAUUUUUUGAUCUUAUAUGUUUCACUAGAACCAUUCUCUUCUAUAUUAUUUACCUUUAAAUAUUGUUGGUAUGGAGGUCCCAAAGUACACAGUGCGUCUUGGCAGAUUCCAUAUCCAGGCCCUAGGAACAUCAAUGGGGUUAAGGCUGGAGUCAUGGUCAGCAAACACCUGCAUAGGAAUAUAACCUGAAAUAAAUUUUUUUGAAGUGCAUAAAAGAAUGUAAGGGAGCUCAAUAGGAAUUGGAUUUUACCUCAUUAACUUGGAAGUAUGUGCCAUUCAAUGGAAAGCUCCCUCUCAUUGCUGUUCGACAUGGUAUCUGGUCAUUAGGUGUUGUAAAUAUUGGUUAGUAUCUGGUAUUGAUACCAUUGUUUUUUUGUUUUUAUUCUUGUUUUUCUUGCUUUUUGUUUUUUUCCCCUCUAGUGAAGUUGAAAAGGUUCUCAAAGUAACAGUGAGUAUCUCACCAAAAGUGUCCCUCGGACAGUUUGGGAAUUUGCUUCUCGUAUACUAUUGCACGAGAAGCAUGUCUUUUCAUCACAUAGUCCUCCAGAUUCCUGGGAGCUACACGUUCUUUCAGGUGGUUGAAUGGAAUUUGCAGUUUCACCUAAUAACAUUUAUGCACAUUUUAAUUAGCAAAUGAUGAGAGAUGAAUUUUCAAUAUAAACAAGAUGCUGGAAAUUUAAGUGCUGCAACUACAUUCUGUUUUAAAAGUUAUCUAGAGUAGAGUGGUCAUUGGUAAAUUUGGUAGGUUACUUUUGCAGAUUGGCAAUGUUGCUACUCACCUGGGGUCCAAAUGGCGAGAAGGUAUGAACAUGGAUCAUCAGGUUCUCUUUUGUCCAGCUGUAAUUUGAUCAGGAAUAGUUGGUCAGGAUAGACAUUUAGAUAUCCAAGGCGUGACUAAAUUGCUUGGAAAGUAGAUGGAAAAAACUACUAACCCCUUCCAGUAGAGGGUGUGAAUCUGGAAGCUCAUAGCUGCAUUAUGGUGUAAAGGCAGUUACUGAAGGAUUUACAUAUACUGAUACAAAUAUUUUUAUCAUUGUUCCUUGCAAAAUGCCGUCCUUUAUAGGCUAUGUAGAUGAGAGCUAGUUCUACUCUUAUGACCCUUAUGAGAUGCUGCUCAUAUUUCUAGUUAUUGAGAGGUCAUAGCCCAGAAAGCCUUAUAUUCAUUUAGUUUACUUGGAGCAGAAUGAGCGGACAUUAAAUGAUUAAAUGAUUUUGGAAUCAGGGAAAUGCCUACUUACACAUGGUGCUCUGUUCGUAGUCGACUAACAUUCUUAAGCUUGGGCAUGGGAAUAGAAGCAACUUCUGGAGUUAAAGCAACCAAAGCCUUUGACAUGUCACUUUCUUGAAGUUCCAUAUUUCUCUGCAUAUAGUUCUGUAAAUUGUGAGUGAACUCUUCAAUGUUGAGUUUGAUUGUUGGUAUCUCAUCAGGAUCCUCAUACAAGGUGUCCUCAAUAUCACUUUCUAAUAUUUGUGGAUGUUCUUGUUCUGGUGUUGCUGGUACUUCAACAAUGGGUUCACAGUUAUUGAUCCCUGGAUUUGCUUCUGAUGAUUGCUUCUGAGGUAGAGGUGGUGGUAGAGGCAGUGGAUUGAUGGUCACAUCAGGGUUUCCAUCCAUUGAUUCGUUUGCAUUUGUGCUUACUAUGCUUCUUUCCUCUGGCCCUGUCAAGGCAAGCCUUGCACUGCAUCCAAAAAUGCUCAUUAAUAAUCCAAUUUAUCCACUCCCUUGGUUUCACAAACAUCAUCCCAGUUUUGCUAGAACUAAGUAUUCAAGUAACAGUCUUGUAUAAUGAUAUGGAUAACGGACACACACAUGUACCUUGCAAAUGCACUUGCAAAGUGUCUGCAUUCUCCCCUCAUUGGACAUGCAUUGCAAUUUGGUUUGCUUUUUGUGCAGAAAACCUGCAUAAUAAAGCUCAAAGAAUGUUGUCACUCAGCUUUUUCUUACGAUUGACUACUGGUGAAAGAAUUUAAGGCAGGUCUAUAGACGUAAUAUACCUUGCCGAAUGUGAUCAUCUGGUAAUGCAGCUCAUACCUGUUAUUAGAUAUUGCAACAAAUCGAAAGCCUUUUAGUUUAGCAGCUAGUUCUCAUUCUAAAUGCAUGCAAAUAUAAUAUACAUAAAUGUUAGGAGUAAUUUUAUUUACAAUGUUCUCUGGUCGAGCUUGCAUAGUCGUGGCCAAAGAUAUUUCUGAAUUGACUCUAGCACUGGGUAUCUGUGUAGGAAUGGUAUUAAUACUUCUGUUGUGAAUGCACAUGUUCUGCAUUGCUAAUUUAUACUCACAGUUCUAGAAGAUGCAAUUGAAGUGACUCAGGCAAGGGCUGAAGGGGUACCCAUCCCAAUCUUACAGCUAUACGUCCAACAUUUGUAUCAACCUUUUUGAAGAUAAACAAGUAAAAUUGUAAGUUUGAGAUUCGUAGAAUUGCAUUCAGCAUAUACAUAAUUGAAGUUUGAACUUACUGGAAAAGCAAGGUGGUGGAGGGUCAAAAGCCGAACGCAUUCCACACUUUUUAACCCAAGCCCUCUAAAGCUUAGCAGAUACUCUCUGUAGGACCACAUUAUAUAUUAAAUAUAAAAACCCUUAAAGUAAUAUAAAAAUCAUGACAAGAUGAGAUGAUACUUGUCAUGAUAUAUGCUGGAUGGCUGGUGUACUGAAUGUUCAAUCUAACUGUACUGGAUUGGAUUGAAUUAUUUUUGUGGACUUACUUUGCUUUGUCAGGAGGAACAUCCCUCAACCACUCAAGAUCAAUGCUUCCAUGGUCCCUAACCAGCCUGUUAAGAAAAUCCUGCACAAAGUGCAAACAUUUCAUCAGCUGAUUUACAGCUUUCUGUCUCUUGUCAGUCAUACAUAAAAAAAACUAUUUGCAGCUGACAUUGACAAAUUUUAUAAUAUUUAUUUGGGAUAUUAUACUUGUACCUUGAUUCGCUCUGCAAGCAUGUUAUUCAUACCCCUUUCUUUGAUGGUAUUAGCAAUUUCAUUAACAUCUGAACAUCUCACUGCUUCCCAAUCUAAUGAGUCCAUUGUGUUUACUGUUCUUUCCCUUUUCCUUCCAUUGACUUGAGCCUCUUUUCUUAAGUUAUCCCAAUGAAGUGUAUUUUUUUCCUCCCUUCGGGCCUUUCCCUUCUUUGCUUUUGAAGUGUCCACACCAAUUUCAUUAGAUGCCUUGCUAGAAGAAAGACCAUGUUCUUUCACACCUGUCUCGCUUUUCCUAUCCUCGAUAUGUGUUUGGUUACUGAAUGCACUGGGACAGUCAAUAACAUCCAAGGCCUUUCCCGAAAUGUUCAUCAAAUUCUGACUUUGCUGCAUUCUGCUGAUCUGCUCCUGACCCACAGACUCAACAACAUUUUUAGGAUCUCCAACAGGGCUGCUUUGGGACUCGAUGAUCUUGUUGUUUUCUCCUUGAAGGUUGUUAUCUGAGAAGGUAUUUUCACAAGAAGAUGUUGGUCCUGCUUGAAUGCUCUCUGUCAGCUUCUUUUCAUCUUUAGCUUGAUUGUCAGAUUCUGCUGUUAAUCCACUUUGUUCGCUCACACACUUUUGAUCCUUGGAAAUUUCAGAAGAUCUGGUUUCUCCAGACAUUUCAAAACCUUCAACUUCCAACACUCCUGAGUUGGGGUUUAGAUGCAAAUGAUAAUUACUGGAAGGGAUAAUGGUUACUCCCAGUGAACUUCUACAGUCAGCCAAUCCAUCCAUGUUUUGACUUCUCUUGUUAUAACCACUCAUGCUUUCUGAAUGGUAGUUCACAUCCUUUGGAUUUGCUCCACAUGUUGCAUUGAUAUUGCUGCGACAGAAAACUUCAUGUAACCUGGUGGAUUCUGCCAUCUGUAAAAGCCCCACAAAGGAAGUGGAUCCAUCAAAAUUGUUGAGUCCAUACCCAGUUGGCAUAAUAUCCUCUACUUCUGAAUUGCUUUCUGAGCAUGAUCCUAUUUUUUCAGCAGUCUGAGCUAUUGAAAAGUCUAAAGAGUUUUGAGAAGAAGCUGCAUCAUCUGCUGCAGUCCUGUCUCCUCCUAUAAAACAUGCUAGUUCUGUCCCUAUCAUCUGGGUGGUUGUCCCAUUCACACUCGAUUUGUUAGACAUUUUUUUACCAGUAGAAUCUAACAUUUUGUCUUUUGAAAUAUCAACAGUGCCAACUGUUCCUCUGCUGUUUCCAUAGGAUCCAUUGCUGUUAACAGCUUCCUCAGUGUGGUGCAGUGUCAUAGAACUCUGGUCACAGACUGCUUGAUUUGACAUUUUCUCAUUCCAUGUGACCGUGUCUUCUGGGUUUAGUGUGCAGACCUCUGGUUCUUCAACUAAAAUCCUCGUUUCCAAUUCAGUUGAUGGUCUGUGGUUGCACUUACAGGGAAAAUGGGCAGCAAGUGACAUGAAUGCAGAACUGCAAAGAAGGAAGAGAUGGAUUAAUGAGUUUUCUCACUUUUUGUCUAUAAUGUUAAAUUCUGUUAACAACUAUCUCAAAAAUUGUAGUUCACCUAGAAAGGUGAUCUGAAACAUUCUGUGUGAGGAAGACUCCAACCACUGAGUCCACAACUGACCCCUUCCAUUUGGAAAAGCGUCUAUCCCCUGCCAACAUAUCACUUUGUUGUUAGUAUAUCAACUUAAUUGAAUUUUCUGAGGUGUGUAUGUAUAUAUUUGAACUGGUUAUUAUUCAAGGCUAUUGGUUAAUAUUUUAGACCUUGAUAUUUUCUUUUGGCUUAAUAAUAAGCAAAAAAAUUUCAUGGGAUUGCUUAUGUAGUUCAGUUAUAAACUGUUUGAGAUAUAAUAAUUAGGAUACCGUUUGUGAUGGUUUCUUGUUCCUAUGCUUUUAGAAUGUUAUAAACCUUUUGUUCUCUGUUACUACUGAUUUUGGCAAGAAACUCACUGGUGAUAAGGUUUGGAAAUUUGUUAACCUAGGGAAUGGAUAUGCUUCUUGUUCCAGAUGUUCUUGUUCUUUCUCCCUAUUAUGAUUCUACUUUAUUGCUUCAGGAUUCAAUUGAUGCUUACUUGCAUGGUAGAACUUUGAAAUAAAAAAAUGUUGGUCACUUGCAUUUUAGAAUUUUGAAAUUAAAAGUGUUUCAGUUUUUUUUUUUAUAAGUAAAUGGCAAUAGUAUUAAUAAAAAAGCGUCAAAAGGGGCACACCAAAGUACAUACGAUGUAUACAAUGGCUACCAAAGAGCGCCAAAAAGUAUAGGGAAAACAAAAUCCCUCCCUCCCUCAAUCCGACCCCAACCAAUCAAUUAAAAAUGUUUCAAUUGAAGGAGCUUCUGUGCUUGCAACUCCUUGAAAUCACUCUUUUAGUUCCCUUUUGUAGUAAGAAUGCUCCAAGUUUAACUCUCUCUUUCAGACUAGUAAUUCAUGACUUCUCAAGUAUUCAGUUGUGGCUUCUAUAUGUGUGCAUGCAUGCACCUGCCUGUGAGGUUUGGGGUGGCUUUAUCACUAAUUCUAGCUCAAUUUAAUCCUGUUUCUUAUUGCUUGUGUUUCAAAUCAAUGUCUAUUAAUAUUCCUUUUAACUCCUAGUUGUUUGAUAUUUACAUUAAAUACCCUCCAAAAGUAUUAUCCUGUAUAUUCUUGAAUCAACAUAUGAAAUUCUUGAAACAAUAUAUGAAAUGUAAUGCCUAAUCAAGCAUUCAACAAAAUGUGAUGAGAGGUAAAAUUUUUGUACCUUGGACUAGAUGCAUGCGUGCAAUAAAUGAGUCUGCUCGUCCACGAAAUACAUUUCUUUCUUCUUCCCACCAUUUUGCCUUCUCCUCAUCUGUACCAUCGAUACCUUCACUAUUUAUAUUUCCCAUCAGAAGCUUCCAUACUCUACUUGUCUCUUCAUCAAGAUCCACUCUAGGCCGUGGGCGUCGUUUCUUGACAAGACCAAAUGAAUCCUCAAAAGGAACGAUAGUGCCAUCUCUUUUAUAAAGGACAAGUGCAUUUUUCUCCUCUUUAUUCAUAUUGUAAGGGACAAGUGCAUUCUGCUCUUGAUAAGAAAUUUUACUUUCCCUAUUGAUGUCAAGAUGCUUCAAUUGCUCAAUGAUUGUAUCAAUUGAAAGCAUGUGUUUCCAUAUUAGUUCUGGAGGAUCUGCAUAAAUGUUUUAUAUAAUCAAAUGAAUAUUUUUGUCAGUUAGGUAAAUCAAAUGACUUGAAAGAUAUGUUUCUUGAACAUGAAAAGCCAUCAAUUGUUUUCCAAGGUAUAGCUGACAGUUCUAAAGAACAUAAAGAACAUACCUGCUAACUUGAGAAGCUGUCGGUUGUUAUAUACAUCAGUCUGCUGGUGUAGCUGCACUUCAUUUGUUCUGGAUGAUGUUGAACCUACAACUGGGUUUCUCUUUUUGGUCCGCUUCCUUCUUGCCAAUUUACUGGUCUCUGCAACUAGGGCUUCUAUGCAUGUGUGUGGCCUGUUUGAACUUUCUGCCCCUUGAACAUCAGGAUUUGGUGAAAUUCUCUUGUCAGGGAAAUUUGGCAGUAGUUUACACAGUGCAAUUCCAUUCAGGGAAGCUAAGUCACGAACCCUAGUGAGGCCCUUGGAUCUUUUUUUGGUCAACCUCUCUCUUGGGCCUAAGGCUAGCAUACAAUCAAAGGUCUGCACUUUGUCUUGGCCACCAUUUUCUGCUUGUCCUUGAGUAGCUGGGGCACUGGAAUUAGUGAAUCGAGAGGCAGAAAUCCAGCUGUCAGAUUUUGAUGCAGAAGAACUUGGGAUUGCAUGAUUUUGAGGGCAUGCUGUUGCUAGCAUCACAAUAUUUUUAGCAGCCAUUACAGGUGAUAAGUUAGUUGCAGUUGAAUUCAAUCCCUUCUCAGUUCUCUUUUUCUUGUAAAUUUCUGGAAAAUGCAUGCCAGGGUUCCUAUUUUGUUCAUUUGCCUGAAACUUAGCAUGAUAUGCCUGCACAGAAUUGUACUGAUUCCCAUUCAUACUCAUGGUUCUUGGAUCUGCCUUGUCAACAAUAUGGGAGUGUACCCUUUUGGUUCCCCUUCUAUGUUCUCUCUCUUUCAAACUUGCACUGGUGCUGCAAUUGGUAUUAUUUGGACUCAUUGAUUUCAAGCUUUCUUGUAAAAUGUUUUCCUGUUUAUCACACACAAUUUCUUGACUUGCUCUUUCUCUGUCAUUCUCAUUUUGGGCAUCAUUCUUCAGUUUCUCCCAUGGAUGAUCAGUAUUUCUUUGAGGUGGGGUGCUUGGGAAUUGUCUAUCAGGCAAUGACACGUAAUUUUUCAGCUCUUGAUUCAUUGAACGAGUAAGGUCAUAGGCGAUGCCUACUUGUGUCUCUUCUACCGUAACUUCCAUCUCUUUACUGAGCAUCACAACAGAUUUUGAUUGAAUUCCUUGGGUACAGAAAUCUUGUGCUUGUGGUUCUGAAUUCAAAUCAGAAGUGGAUAUGCAUGAAGAGCUUCCACCUCUUGCUCUACCAUUGUCGUCAAAGUUUAAUCCCCUUCUACAUGACAUCAUGGUACGUUCAGGCCUUUCUGGUUCGGUACUCCGACCCAUUAUUUCUGCUGGAGAAUUUGUUGAGGGUUUGUUGACUCCAUUCUUGCGAACAUACUUUCUCUUGCCUGUUGGAUUUCCCUGGGAACCAGUGCACUUUGGGUUUACUGGCUUUGGUGUCCUUUUAGGUUUGCCUUCUAUGACUACUUUGGGCCUGUGCUUUUUUCUUCUAGGUUUCUGUUGGGGUGUCUUAUUCAGGUCAAUAAUAUGGUCUCCUCUUUUGUCAAAAUUGCAAUUCUCUGUCAGUGGGCCAAUAGCAUGGUUGCCUCCAUUGUCAAGAUUGACAUUUUCAUUUAAUGGUGAGGAGACAGGAGCAAAUGAUAAAUCUGUUGGUGACUGCAGAAGUUUUGAAUCACAAUGGAGGUGGUUGACCUCAACCCUUGUGGUGUCAAUAGCCUUCUCUUGCUUCUCUGUUUCUUGAACAGUUUUUUCUUCUGGGCAUAAAUUUUGAGAUUUGGCAACCCAGCUGUUCUCUACUCGCCUGUUUUUAUCUGGUGUUAUGGGUGCAAAGUGGGAGAUAGCGCUGCCAGAGACUGCCUCUGCCAUUGAUUCAGGUGGUGAAUUAAGGUCAUAAAAGUGCCUGUAAGUGGGGAGUCCAUCUGCACAGUACCAUCAUACCAUGUUAUGGCCAAUUAGAUAAGAAAAACCAACAAAGCAUGGACUUCAUCAAAGAAACUGUUACCAGGAAAGUUAUUAUAAAGAUAAAUGUUCAUUGGGAACAUAUUUCUACCUCUAAUUUGGAUUUGUCUGACAUGUGGAGAAAAUGCAUUGAAAAUUUGAUCUUAAAUGAAUAGAACUUGGCAAAAUGUUAAGCAGAAUUAGAAUGCGACAAAGGGAACGGUAGGAGCUGAAUGGCACACAAGGAAAACUGGUAAUAAGGUCAGUUGUAGAUGCUAUCAUUGUUCCAUUGCCCUUUUUCCUGGCUACCUUUCAGAAUAUUUCAAUUUCUUCAUUUCUGGUUUUAGAUAAAAUUUUAUGCAUGAUUUCAUAUUUCUGGUUUUAAUAUUGUCUCCCGUGCUCAUUCCGCUGUUGGUCCCUAAUCAUGGUUCUAAAGUUUGUGCAGGUGACCUGGCUGAAAUGAAAUGUAAAACCAGUCUGUGUACGAUAGCAUAAAUAAGAAUCCAAAGGUGAAACUUUGACACUCACAUUGAUUCAUAUCAGGUGCACUUGUCCACUGGCUUGAUCCAAGCAAGAGAUCUUGGCUUUUAAGCAACAUGCUUGUGGAGCUAGAAACUUCAGGGUGGAGAUGUGUAGCAGACAUGAAAGGGCUACUUGCCCCACUAACAUUCUCAGGUGAUACGGCAGAUGGAAUGAAGGCUGCAUUUGUCUGAGCCAAUAGCUGGGUGAAAGGAAUAUUGUCCAAACUCAUCUCCAG
rnacentral:lncRNA from 1 species